CCUACGGGGGGCUGCAGUGGGGAAUAUUGCACAAUGGGCGCAAGCCUGAUGCAGCGACGCCGCGUGAGGGAUGACGGCCUUCGGGUUGUAAACCUCUUUCAGCAGGGACGAAGCGCGAGUGACGGUACCUGCAGAAGAAGCACCGGCCAACUACGUGCCAGCAGCCGCGGUAAUACGUAGGGUGCGAGCGUUGUCCGGAAUUACUGGGCGUAAAGAGCUCGUAGGCGGUUUGUCGCGUCGUCUGUGAAAUUCUGCAGCUUAACUGCAGGCGUGCAGGCGAUACGGGCAGACUUGAGUACUACAGGGGAGACUGGAAUUCCUGGUGUAGCGGUGAAAUGCGCAGAUAUCAGGAGGAACACCGGUGGCGAAGGCGGGUCUCUGGGUAGUAACUGACGCUGAGGAGCGAAAGCGUGGGUAGCGAACAGGAUUAGAUACCCCUGUAGUC
rnacentral:rRNA from 1 species